rnacentral:ncRNA from 1 species
UCAUGGGGAAUGCGAUCUCCCCAUGAGGCGUCAGCCAAAGCAUCGCGUCCUGUUUUUCGAUGAAGGACGCAUCAUG